CGGGGCGUAGCGCAGUCUGGUAGCGCACCUGGUUUGGGACCAGGGGGUCGGGAGUUCGAGUCUCUCCGCCCCGACCA
rnacentral:tRNA from 1 species